UACGUAGGGGGCAAGCGUUAAUCGGAAUUACUGGGCGUAAAGCGUGCGCAGGCGGUUAUGCAAGGCAGAUGUGAAAUCCCCGGGCUCAACCUGGGAACUGCAUUUGUGACUGCAUGGCUGGAGUGCGGCAGAGGGGGAUGGAAUUCCGCGUGUAGCAGUGAAAUGCGUAGAUAUGCGGAGGAACACCGAUGGCGAAGGCAAUCCCCUGGGCCUGCACUGACGCUCAUGCACGAAAGCGUGGGGAGCAAACAGG
rnacentral:rRNA from 1 species